CACAGAACCUGCUGAAUCAGUGGCCUGCAAACGGCGUCCUCACAGCAGCCGCUGUUCCUCCUGCUGCUCCUUCAGACCCAUGUAACAACGUGCUCAGGAUUCCUGAAAGCAUGGUUCAGCACCUGCGUCCUGUUGGAGUACUAAAGAGGAAGCAUCAUCAGCAGGAUGAGGACCGGCCGUACAUCAGGAAGCCGCCAAAUGCCUUCAUGCUCUUUCUGAAGGAGCAGAGGUCAAAGCGUCUGCAUCUAAACCCGUAGAGGAAGUUCAAGAGGCCAAGUGUCAGUGUCCCUGUGUGAAUCAGGUCCUCCCUACUUCUCAUGCAGGCUCCUCUGCAUCCACAUCAUUGGCUUCCUACGCUGGACCAGUUCAAGCCCAGACAGAGGCAACCUUCUUUGGAAACACUGGAGAAGAUCUGCUAUCACUGCUGGAGCACCUCGAUCCCCUCCUUCCUGCUGCAGCCUCAGGAGCUCGUCUGUUUUUACUCAGACCCCUGCACUGGUCCUCAAGGGUAUCAGAUCAGCCCUGAGUCCCCUCCAUCCACAUCAGUGGCCUCUGCAGUUGCACCCAUUGAACCCUUGGCCAUAGAUGUGCUAUCACUGCUGAAGCAGACUGAUCCCUCCUAUGUUCAUGCAG